UGAGACAAUGGUCAUUCAGGUUUUAUUUAUGACAACUUCUUAGAACACACACACACAUCCAGUCUAGGAACAGAAAUGUACAGCAUGGGGCUUAAAUAACUUUCAUACACUAUGUACAGUCAUCGGCAGAGGUACAAAACAUAUAUACACUUGUGCUAGCCACACAGAGGAGAGCACGGGCCAGAGGACCCUGCAGCUUGGGCAGGAGGCGAUCGCCAGAAGAGAGCUGGUGGGCAGGGCAGGGCAGGGCCCUGAUUCACUUCAGGGGUCCUCUCUGACCCUCGGCUCUUCAUGGAGCAGUUCCGCUUCCCUGCAAGGCCCUCGGGACAUGGGUUCAAAGGAUUGGACUGGGGUGUGGUGGGGGGCCAGGGGCUCAUUUGAGUGCUGGAGAUGGGCAGGGGCUGGGGGAUAGAACAAAGAUGCCAUGGAAGAAACAAUUUUCCCUGUAGAGUCUGUCCUUGCACAUAGGAGGGCAGUGAAGGAUCUGGGAGCCAGGAGAGGAGGGCCAGGAGGCUGUGCCAAGCCAAGAGAGCGGCGAGCGCUUUCCUGUUUGGGAUGGCAAAGGGACAGAAGCCACAGGUGUGGGCCGCUGGGUGGGAAGAACUCUCCGCUCUCGCAGGGCAGGCCCGCCCACACAAACACGACAGCGAACAUGGCGGGCAUAGGCGGUGGCGGAACAAGCCGCGGGGAGUGCCUGCACCCUGCCCGGACUGCAUCAGAGGACACCCCGUGAGCCGAGAUGCUCUGUGACGGAGGAGAGCGGUGCAUCUCUGAUUUCACAGCGGCCGCCUGCCUGUGUCUCCACCACACUGGGUGGCGUGAGAAAGUUCCAGCAACUCCUUGCGGUAGUUUUGUGCUUUAAACCGCCCUCUGCCCAAGCCACACCGCCCCAGGCGGACAGCAGGGUGAAAGGUCCCUACGUGGAGGCUGUGGCGGGGGUGGGCGGGCAGGGAGAGCACUCCCAGACCCACAGACGUCCCUCCCCGAGGGGCUGGAGGCGGCACCCUGCCCACCUCAAAGGCUUAGAUGUGCCCGCCUCUGCCUCGUAGCCUCGCCUCCCUCCUGGCAGCCUCCAGAGGCCACGCCAGGUGGUCCCUUGGGGAAUUGUGGCUGCCGUGGAGGAGUCAGUCUCUCAGACGGAAGCAAACACUGAACUGAGGUAAUACUGGGAACAGAGCCUGGCACAGGGCUGUGCCGAGGAGGCCCCUGGGCCGUGGGGAUGGAAGACAGGCUCCAUCCAGGGAGCUCGCCAGUCAGCUUCCCAAGCAUGCACGGGGCUCG
rnacentral:lncRNA from 1 species